rnacentral:rRNA from 1 species
CAGCCGCCGCGGGAAUACGUAGGGUGCGAGCGUUAAUCGGAAUUACUGGGCGUAAAGCGUGCGCAGGCGGUUUUGUAAGACAGGCGUGAAAUCCCCGGGCUCAACCUGGGAAUGGCGCUUGUGACUGCAAAGCUAGAGUGCGGCAGAGGGGGAUGGAAUUCCGCGUGUAGCAGUGAAAUGCGUAGAUAUGCGGAGGAACACCGAUGGCGAAGGCAAUCCCCUGGGCCUGCACUGACGCUCAUGCACGAAAGCGUGGGGAGCAAACAGGAUUAGAUACCCGGGUAGUCCCUGUCUCUUAUAU